CCGGCGAGGGGAGUGAAAAAGAACCUGAAACCGUGUACGUACAAGCAGUGGGAGCACGCUUAGGCGUGUGACUGCGUACCUUUUGUAUAAUGGGUCAGCGACUUAUAUUCUGUAGCAAGGUUAACCGAAUAGGGGAGCCGAAGGGAAACCGAGUCUUAACUGGGCGUUAAGUUGCAGGGUAUAGACCCGAAACCCGGUGAUCUAGCCAUGGGCAGGUUGAAGGUUGGGUAACACUAACUGGAGGACCGAACCGACUAAUGUUGAAAAAUUAGCGGAUGACUUGUGGCUGGGGGUGAAAGGCCAAUCAAACCGGGAGAUAGCUGGUUCUCCCCGAAAGCUAUUUAGGUAGCGCCUCGUGAAUUCAUCUCCGGGGGUAGAGCACUGUUUCGGCAAGGGGGUCAUCCCGACUUACCAACCCGAUGCAAACUGCGAAUACCGGAGAAUGUUAUCACGGGAGACACACGGCGGGUGCUAACGUCCGUCGUGAAGAGGGAAACAACCCAGACCGCCAGCUAAGGUCCCAAAGUCAUGGUUAAGUGGGAAACGAUGUGGGAAGGCCCAGACAGCCAGGAUGUUGGCUUAGAAGCAGCCAUCAUUUAAAGAAAGCGUAAUAGCUCACUGGUCGAGUCGGCCUGCGCGGAAGAUGUAACGGGGCUAAACCAUGCACCGAAGCUGCGGCAGCGACGCUUAUGCGUUGUUGGGUAGGGGAGCGUUCUGUAAGCCUGCGAAGGUGUGCUGUGAGGCAUGCUGGAGGUAUCAGAAGUGCGAAUGCUGACAUAAGUAACGAUAAAGCGGGUGAAAAGCCCGCUCGCCGGAAGACCAAGGGUUCCUGUCCAACGUUAAUCGGGGCAGGGUGAGUCGACCCCUAAGGCGAGGCCGAAAGGCGUAGUCGAUGGGAAACAGGUUAAUAUUCCUGUACUUGGUGUUACUGCGAAGGGGGGACGGAGAAGGCUAUGUUGGCCGGGCG
rnacentral:rRNA from 1 species